CACUCUACUCAAGAAUGGCUUAGAAAAAUUUCAUGUUUGUUUUUAUUCUACGUUUAACCAAGAAAUUAUUCUGAAAUAGGGAAAUGAACUCCGACAGCUUCGUUAAAGAUGUUGUUGUUGUUUCCGGAAAAGACAAAUGUCCACAAGGCUACGAAAUUAUUAAUACAACUGUCAAUGGCAAUGAUGCAAAUCUUUAUGAAAGUUCAUUUCUAAAGAAAGACGAGCGGUACAUUUGCUUCACAAAAAUCAAAUUUCACCAACUGGUAAUAUCAUAACAGAUCUUAUGAUAGCAAAGGAAAAGAUUCAUUUGAUUUAACUGGCUUUACUGCUGUAAGGAAUUGUUCUAAUGAUGCAAGUGAAAAAUCUUUUCGCAAACAUGUGUUAUACAUAAAGACAGAGAGUUUGGAGUCUGCAAAGCAAGGUGUUGUCAAUCUUAUAGCUGUUCAACCAUCAAAA